CGCUGCUGUAAGGAAGCAAACUCCAAAGAAGGCACUACAUAUUUUUCUGGAAUUUAGAAACAAGAUCCCUCUGGUCUGCUGGUAAAAUGUAGACACUGUAGUGAGAGUAAUGAAAUGUCCAAGAUCUUGAAUAAGCCUGGGAUGGAAACUGGGAGUUAGUGGAAGAUAAGGAGCCCAGGUGUGAUGUGCUUAGAGACAGGACUGCUGAGAAGUCUGCAGGUGAGGGGAUUUUACAAAUCAAACAAAGCUCUGAUGAGACUUCCACCUCCUUUCCAAAAAAACACCAAGACCAUGGAAAAAUUGUUUCCAAGAAGAAGACUUAUACCUAGCUCCUCAUCUGCACAGAAGCCAUUGCCC